UACGAGAGGCCCAAACGUUAUUCGGAAUUACUGGGCUUAAAGAGUUCGUAGGCGGCAUUGCAAGUAGGGUGUGAAAGCCCUCGGCUCAACCGAGGAAUUGCGCUCUAAACUGCAGUGCUUGAGGAAGCUAGAGGUGAGCAGAACAGAUGGUGGAGCGGUGAAAUGCGUUGAUAUCAGCUGGAAUACCGGAGGCGAAGGCGGCUCACUGGGGCUUGUCUGACGCUGAGGAACGAAAGCCAGGGUAGCGAACGGG
rnacentral:rRNA from 1 species